GGCUGGUCCAAGCACAAUGGUGUUUAAAACUAAUUGAUCACAACCAGUUAGAUUCCUUUGUUCUUUCUCCACUCUCACUGCUUCACUUGACUAGCCUUAA
ensembl:misc_RNA Y_RNA Y RNA